rnacentral:rRNA from 1 species
AGUGAACGCUGGCGGUAGGCCUAACACAUGCAAGUCGAACGGCAGCACAGUAAGAGCUUGCUCUUACGGGUGGCGAGUGGCGGACGGGUGAGGAAUACAUCGGAAUCUACUUUUUCGUGGGGGAUAACGUAGGGAGACUUACGCUAAUACCGCAUACGACCUACGGGUGAAAGCAGGGGAUCUUCGGACCUUGCGCGAUUGAAUGAGCCGAUGUCGGAUUAGCUAGUUGGCGGGGUAAAGGCCCACCAAGGCGACGAUCCGUAGCUGGUCUGAGAGGAUGAUCAGCCACACUGGAACUGAGACACGGUCCAGACUCCUACGGGAGGCAGCAGUGGGGAAUAUUGGACAAUGGGCGCAAGCCUGAUCCAGCCAUACCGCGUGGGUGAAGAAGGCCUUCGGGUUGUAAAGCCCUUUUGUUGGGAAAGAAAAGCAGCAGGUUAAUACCCCGCUGUUCUGACGGUCCCCAAAGAAUAAGCACCGGCUAACUUCGUG